GGAUAACCUACCCUUAGGACUGGGAUAACCCUGGGAAACUGGGGAUAAUACUAGAUAGGCAAUUUUUCCUGGAAUGGUUUUUUGUUUAAAUGUUUUUUCGCCUAAGGAUGGGUCUGCGGCCGAUUAGGUAGUUGGUUAGGUAACGGCUUACCAAGCCAUUGAUCGGUACGGGUUGUGAGAGCAAGAGCCCGGAGAUGGAACCUGAGACAAGGUUCCAGGCCCUACGGGGUGCAGCAGGCGCGAAACCUCCGCAGUGUGAGAAAUCGCGACGGGGGGAUCCCAAGUGCCAUUCUUAACGGGAUGGCUUUUCAUUAGUGUAAAGAGCUUUUGGAAUAAGGGCUGGGCAAGACCGGUGCCAGCCGCCGCGGUAACACCGGCAGCUCUAGUGGUAGCAGUUUUUAUUGGGCCUAAAGCGUCCGUAGCCGGUUUAAUAAGUCUCUGGUGAAAUCCUGUAGCUUAACUGUGGGAAUUGCUGGAGAUACUAUUAGACUUGAGACCGGGAGAGGUUAGAGGUACUCCCAGGGUAGAGGUGAAAUUCUGUAAUCCUGGGAGGACCGCCUGUUGCGAAGGCGUCUAACUGGAACGGUUCUGACGGUGAGGGACGAAAGUUAGGGGCGCGAACCGGAUUAGAUACCCGGGUAGUCCUAACUGUAAACGAUGCGGACUUGGUGUUGGGGUGGCUUUGAGCUGUUCCAGUGCCGAAAGGGAAGCUGUUAAGUCCGCCGCCUGGGAAGUACGUCGCAAGACUGAAACUUAA
rnacentral:rRNA from 1 species